GGCUUCUUAGCGCUAGCAGUGCAGUAGCAGUGCAGUAGCCGAGCUGAGAGCACAGAGCCAACUGCAGAGAGGAAAAGUGAAAUGUAAAGCGAUUAAGGAUCGCUAAACAUCUUAGUGAGCAAGAAUUGGCUUUUGGUCAGGUUUUUCUGUUUUGUACCUUUUGCGUUGGAUUGAAACACCCGUAAGAGUGUGGCAGACACCUCUACAGUGGAGACAAGAUGGCGAGCCAGAUCCAUGGACUACAGUUCUUGAACCUUCGUCGUGAUUACAAGUGAAUCCGUUUCCUAUUGGUGAACAUUGCUGCCAGUGCGGUAGGAACAUUGACUCUUUUAUUUUCCUCAUCUCAACCAAUCUUUGGAUUUGCUAAUCUGGAUUCCACUUCAACAUUUGAUUGGAAGUCAAAUACACUUCUGAACUGAGUAGAAAAAGGCUGAAAAGUGUAUCACACUGUGUAUCCUUCAAGAUCUUUGCAAUUUUGUGGUGCAAGUGUGAUUUGUUUUUAAAUUGAUUUCGGGUUGAAUCAUGCUUGUAAUUGGUUCUUUCCUAAACAAAGAGUUAACUCAACAAAAAUGGAAAUAUCAUUAGAAAUUACUUGCCUGUCAACCUAACCAGGGAAAAGUACUCACAGACCGGUCUGAUUGAUAAAAUAAUUCAAGUUAAAAUUAGAGACAUUGGAAAAAUAUUCUUUUAUUUACUUUUCAAUUUCCUGGAUCGCUUUAUGCUGUUUAUAUUGUGUUUUUUCUGCAAUUUCUUGUUAGUAAAUUGCCGGCUCAAACUUCAACUUCUGGUAUUUAGUCUAUUUACACAUUCUCAUUCCACUCCUUCUGAACCUGGAUCUGGUCCUGUAGUAUUGUUAGUAUGUCGGUGUAUACAAGUGCUACACAUCACUACUAGAUUUUUACUCUAUCAUCGCCAGCAACGACUUUGUUAGGUUUUCCUCAGCUCGUCUUUAUUUCGGUUAGUAUCUAAAUUUACUUGGUAAACUUGUUUCAUAAAGUACGCGGUGCAUUUGACAAGACAGCGCUGUGCAGGCUUGUGUUGCGUCAGUCACUUAUGCAACUCAGUUGGGAUAGCAUGACCGCUUUUUUCCUUGAAAUGUAUUUUUGUCUUAUUCCAUGAAGUCAUCACAAAACAGGCGUGUUCUCUUCAAUAUAAGAGUUUUGUUAGAGUUGGCAGUACUCAAACAGUGGUAACGUUAACCUGCAUUGACUGGCCACAACAUUAGGUACACCUGCACAGUCCAGAGGUGCAUCAAACAGUCUGCCUGUAUGGCUAUUAUACUACAUUAUAUACAUAAACGUGGUAAAAUAUUACACCCCUCUCAAUACGUUGCAGUAUGCACGUUGCAAUCUGAAACUUCUUUUGUAACGUACAUGGUGCGUUUCACAAGACAGCUGUAUACAGCUCGUGCGUCAGUCACUGCCAGGUUGUUUUUUUUUCCGUUUGCUUGCUUAUAAUUUGGCUCGUAAUAUAAAGUCAGAUGGAAAACUUGACUUGUAGUACUCAACGCGAUGCUUUUGAGAAAACUGCAGUUAACAAGGCUGACAGAUUAUUUCCCUGUUUGCCAUCACUGGAUGUUUGCAUGAAUCAUCAACUUCGCGCAGAUCAUCAAAAAAAAAUGAAUAAAGUCUUACAGGUCACUUACACACAUACACAGUUCACAUAUAGCUGAAUAACAAACAAUAAAUAUAGCAACUUCUCAUCAAUCCAUGUCAAUUUCAGACUUAAAAUAAUGCACAGAUUUAAGCCACACCCAUUUCCGGUUAAAUCACACCCACUUUACUUAUGCCCCACCCACUCCGAGUACAGAUACAGAUAAUUUAGAUGGGCGAACAGAUACAGAUAGUUGUGUACUCACUCAUCCCUACUAUUAGCUAUGAAACCCUCACCCCUAGAGGAAGGCUAUGAAUUAAAUAAUCAACAUGAACAAAUAAUUGUAAAAUCUUUAUAAAGCUGAAUGGACCUCCAGAAGAGGCCAAAAUAAUGAUCAUUAAAGACAUCACAGAUCUGCAAAAGUACCAGACGAAUCAACCCACGAGAGAGCAUUAAACACUCAAACAUAUAAAAUAUCAAAUAGAUACAGCCUAAUUAAUCCUCGACAAAUAAACAACAAUGGACCUUACUACACAUAUCUUGGAUAAAGAUAUUGAUCUGGAUACAAAUUUCUUCGCACAUACAGUAUUAGACAUGAGUGCUUUUAUUAUACAGAGGAACAAUACAACAAUAAUGAUUAUAGCAGACAGCAAGUUAUCAGUUAGUCAUAUUAACAUCAGAAACAUGUAUGCAAACUACAUUAACAUAACACAAUAUCUGAGUCAAUUCAAUGCAAUUGCAAUCUCAGAAACUUGGAUAGAUGCUAAGCAAGGCAUAGAUUUUGAGCUGGAAGGAUACAACAGGAACUAUAUAAACAGGAAUAACAAAAGUGGAAGAGGAGUGGCUAUAUGUAGACAAACAUCUGAACUACAAUGUGGUAACAAGCAUGUCAUUCGAAAUUGAUAACAUUUUUGAAUGUAUAUCCAUUGAAAUAUGUAAAGAAAAAAGCAAAAACAUUAGUGAGCUGUUUAUAAAGAACACUCAAGUCAAGCAUUGAAAUGUUCAAGGACUGGAUCAAAGCAGCCUUCACAGACGUCAGUCAAAAAAUAAUCUUCGUAUGUGGGGACUUCAAUAUUGAUCUUCUGAAUCCAAAUAAGCACAAAAUAAUAGAUGACUUCAUGGAUACAAUGUACAUUUAGAGUCUAUAUCCGAAAUCACCAGACCAAGCAGAAUAACAGACCGUUGUGCCACGCUAAUUGAUAAUAUAUUCACCAAUAAUUUUGAUAACACAACUUGUGGUCUGCGAAUUAAUGAUAUCAGUGACCAUCUCCCAGUGUUUAGAAUUUACAAUGGAAACUACAGGAGGAGAAAAGGUGAAAGACAGAAAAACAUUUCAAAGACUACGAACAGAGGACAGUAUUAACACUUUUAAGAAAGAUCUGGAAGAACAAAGUUGGGAAUGCGUCGAUUGUAAAAAAGACAUGGAUGAAGCAAAAGAAGAGAAUUCAACAGUGGAUGACAAAGGGUCUGCAAAAUGCUUGUAAGAAGAAAAACAUUGGUGAUACAAAAAACAAAAGAAGCAGAAAAUAAGUAUAAGACAUACAAAAACAAGUUAACAAAUAUUUUAAGAGUCUGUAAGAGAGAAUAUUAUAGUAAUCUAUUAGACAAGAAUAAAAACAUUAGAGUAUCAUGGGGCAUCCUAAACAGUAUUAUCAGGAAUGGAUCCAAGAAAGCAGAUUACCCUCAAUAUUUUAUACAUGGAAAUGCUAAAAAUGAGGAUAUGAACGAGGUAGUUGAAAUGUUCAAUAAAUACUUUGUAAAUAGUGGACCAAACUUGGAAGAAAGGAUCCCAAAGUACUUGUCAGCAGAUGAAGGGGAUGCAAGUAUAGCCCGGGAUCCUCACUCCAUGUUCCUCACUGGUGUGACAAAAAAAUAGUGGCUGGGUUAUCCUAGGAGCUAUGUUGCCCUGGGCUAUAUGCUCCUGGUAGAGUCUCCCAAGGCAAACGGGUCCUAGGUGAUGGGCCAGACAGAGAGUGAUUCAGAAGACCCUAUCGAAAAAUCAAAAGCCGGAUGACAAAGCUCUCAAUUUACUGGUCGUUUCUACCCUCACCUAUGGUCAUGAGGUCUGGGUCAUGACAAAAAGAACGAGAUCGCAGAUAUAGGCAGCCGAAAUGAGUUUCCUCUGUAGGGUGGCUGGGCUCAGUGACAGGGACAACAGGGACAGCCCUAAGAGACAGGGUGAGAAUCUCGGUCAUCCAGAAGGAGCUCAGAGGAGAGUAGAGAGGAGCCAGUUGAGGUGGCUUGGGCAUCUAGUCCAGAUGCCUCCUGGACGCCUCCCUGGUCAGGUGUUCCAGGCAUGCCCAGCCGAGAGGAAGCCCUGGGUUAAACCUAGGACUGGAGGGAUUGUGUCUCACAGCUGGCCUGGGAACACCUCGGUGUCCUCCCGAUGGAGAUAGAAGAGGUGGCAGGAGACGAGGAAGUCUGGGCUUCCCUAUUGAGUCUGCUGCCCCCACAAUCUGGACCCAGAUAAGCAGGAUACAACCGAUAGCUGGAACUGAACAUGUUUUAUAUUAAAUGAAAGCAAAACACCCUGAAAAGUGUAACCUUUUAGGGCACACUCUGGGGCCUCGUUAGAAGCCCAGCAAACAUAUUGAUCCGCCUUUAAAUUUUCAAACACCUGCUUAUUACCUAUUGAACUAUACACAUUUUUACCAUUAAUGCAAUUAUGUUCAAGUCUUGUUGCCUUCUUUCAGAGACUGGUGACAGAAAUUGGUUACAUUUCAUCCCAACAAGACCAUCAUCAUCUUACAACUACUCUAUAGGCAUUUUAUAAUACACAAACUAGUAUGAGUCCAUAGGGGAGAAAUCAGAGAUAUGGAGUUCAAUGAAAGUAGGUAAUCUGAAUUAGAAGAGCAAUCAUAACAUAUUUUUGUAAGUGCCUAAAGCUGUCCAAAAGACUGGCCUCUGGCCAGGCAGCAGUAAUUAUAUUGGCUCCCUGAGAAGAAUCUGCCUUGAAAGCUAGAGUAAAAGUGCUGUCAACUGAGAGAGUAGAAGGACAAUUGCAUGCACAAACCCACACCUGAGCCUCCCCGAAGCAUAAUACUGUACACUCAGAGUGGCUUGGUGCACAGGCACUUAAAAUCACACAAACGUAACACAAUAUUGUACAUCAGAUGGAAGAACAUAUCACAUAUGUUCUUGUACUUUCAUUCUUCACCACGAAUGCUGGAACACAUACACGGUAGUUCCACAUGGUAGUCGUUUCCUCGCCUGAUGGGGCCCUUGUGCAAUGGUGCAUUUUUUUGUCCGAGAUAUCGACACCAGCUUUGUCUGACAGACAUACAGCGGGAGAAAUAAUUACAGUGGAACCUUGGUUAGUGUAUGCCCCGGUUAGCAUGUGUUCUGGUUUACUUGCUUGUUUGUGUACAUUCUCUGGUUUGUGUUAUUAAUACACUGUGUGAUUCCAACUGUGUUCUGAAUGUAUUUUUAUGACAAAAUGUCCGUAUUAGGUUGCUAAUUCAUGGAAACCAGGAUGCCGCCCGUCUAUGAUGUCAUCAGCGUUUGACUCUGUAAUUCUUUGCUAAUAAACACAGCCAUUGCUGUUCUUUAGAUCACGGCUGUAAAAUAACCCACAAUGGAGUCAAAGAAAGUUGCAAGUGCCAGCACUUUGAUUUAAAAAAUGUGAGAAACACUAUUGAAUUCAACAAAUAACUCGUAGCGCAAAGGUGGCGUCUGUGUGUAUCUUGCUGCCACAUCGCCAUCUUUGUCAACCAUUUACGUCUUCAGUCAAAGUAAAAGUGAUGCAAAAUGUUCAAACCUCAUGCCAUGAAAUUUUUUUGAAUGCGGGUUCAAGUUCAAAUUACAAAAUAUGUAACUGCUACUUUGAAGGGUGAUAACUAAGUCAUUUUUAAAUAUUUUUUUUCUGUCAACCACUCAAACUGUUCAUUGGCAUCAGACCUAUCCAUACAUAUGUAGUUUUACUUUUUUAUUUUAUCACCCCACUUAGGACCACACAAACCCAAAGAAUGGGCUAUGAAGACAAUUGUUCUGUGUAUAUAUAUAUGUAUAAAAUAAAGUAAUUUCAAAUAUGUCAUAUGACAUAAUUAGAGCUUUGAAUAAGGCAAUAAGUCACAACAACAAAAAAAUCGAUGCAUAGAACUUUUUUUUACAAUAACUGUAUAACUGAAAAUACCCUUUGUGUGUUGAAUUUACAUAAUAUGUAAUUGCUACUUUGAAGGGUGAUAACUCAGUCAUUUUUUUUUAAUGCAAAUAGAACAAUUUAUUAACAAUAACAACAACAAUAGGAACAACAAACCACUAACUACUAUAACAAACUACUAACUAACAAUUCAAACAUUCCCUCUUUGUAUGUUUGUUGCAUAUAGCAAUACCACACUUCACACAUUAAUGUGAAGUCUGCAAUUUUUCUCAGUGCACAGCCCACACUGCUUCCGCUUCAGAUGGGGCCUUGCUGGGGCCACAGGUGUUGCUGGACCUGGCAGUGGAGCCACAGCUGGCUGCUCAGCCAGGCUUUCUUCUGGCUGGUCCAACCUCCUCCUCUGUCUGUGUGUGAUUUCUGGUGUGACCAGGGCCUUGGCCACCUCCAGUAAAAACAGCCAUCGCCGAAACAGCUUUGUGCGGCUCCAAUCCGGCUCCACAUUUCUGAACAACACAAAAGCGUUGUAGGCAGAAAUGUCCACCAUGUGAUGGAACAGACACAUGGGCCACCUCAGCGCCCGCCGGCGACAAGAGUAAGCUCCACAGACCUGCAAAGAAGACAAAAAACCAACAAAAAAACAUCAGAUGACAUCAGACGACAAGUUAGCUUUGAUAGAAAGCUUUGACCAUAAAAAAAGUACUUAUUCUUACCUGGUCCAAGUGGUCAACCGCUCCUUUGCAUUUAUUGUAGUCCAGGAUAAUUUGUGGCCUCUUGAGUGCUCCCUCUGGAACCUCUGGCGUGCGGUGCCUCGAACUCAGGACCAGAACAUUUUUUGCUCUUUUCGGCACAUAUGACAUGAGGGCCAUAUUUUUUUUGAAUGCAAACAAGCUGGAACAAAAUAAAAUAAAAACGUUUAUUUAUAUAGCACUUUUCAUAGAAAUGCAAAGGCCAAAUGACAAUACAACAUAAAAAGAAAUCUCACCUUGAGAGUGGCUGCCUGCAGGUUAUUCUAAGGAGUGCUGGAGGAAGCUCCUCGUUGUUCUUUCUCAGGGUGCCGACCAAUGCAUUUUUUUUUAUUUUUCAAUUCUUCGGCCAGCGGGAAAGAAGUGAAAAAGUUGUCGGUCGUGACAGUGUGCCCUUCGAAAGAAUCACACAGGUGCAGCACCACGCCCAUGCCCACAUUUGAGGUGCGCGUGCCCCCUGGAGGCUUUCCCGUGUAUACCUCCAGUUUCAACGCAUCGGAAGUGUCCACGUCACAAAGCGCCCACACCUUGAUUCCAUAUUUCGCCGGCUUGGACGGCAUAAACUGCUUGAACGAGCAGCGGCCUCUGAAUGACAUCAGCUGCUCGUCCACGCAAAUGUCUCUUCCAGGGCUGUAGAGCUUGAUCCAGACUUCACUAAUGGGCGAGAGCUUGUCACUGUGGUGAUGUCGUGGCCGGAGCAGCUUGUCAUCGAACCUUAGCGCACGGUUUAUCUGGCCAAAUCUGCCGUGCGCCAUGGUUUGGACAAACAUCGGUCUGCCGAGAUCUUUGUCCCACAGGCUGAGCGUUGAUUCGUUUCUGGACCGGUACAUCCCCGCAAGAAUGGGCAGUCCUAAAUACGCACGCAGCUCCUGCACGGCUAGCUCGGCCCAGCCCGUGAUAGCCCUGCACCCUUGCAGGUUCGUCAUUUUCAAAAUGUGAUCCAUGAUAUCGUCGGGAAAAAAGAAAUCAAAUGCCGUGAUUGGGCUGCUAAUUCUAGUGAUCGCGUACCUCGUCGGCCCGGGAGAGGGAAGUGUCGACGGGACAAAAUGCCGGGACAUCUCAUGGGUGGGAGACCAAAUUAUUUUUUUGUUUUUGGACCUCCAUAAUCUUCCGUCGUCUUCCCCUUGGGAAUCAUCAAAACAUCUAGUCCAAUCCAGUCUAAUUUGGAGUCGUAGCCACACCGGAUUGGUCUCAUUGAGUUUGUGGUGAUGGGCAUGUACAGUCCUUUUCCAAGUGGCCAGGCGAAGAGAAAAGAGGUAGAACAAACAUAUCUUUGAUGGUUUUAUUCACAUUCAAGCAACAACAAUGUAACCUGGUCUCUCACUUUAGUUAAUAGAAAACAGGAAGUUUAGACUGAGUUUGUUUAAUGUAACCAAGGACAGUUUCUGUGUCAUCUUCCAGUACCUGCUGUGGAGGGGGCAAUGCUAGGAGUAAGAGCAGGGAUAGGUGGUCAGACUGGACCAGGUGUGGUCGUGGUUUAGACUUGUAGCCAGCCUUAAUGUUGGAGUACACUUUGCUCAAAGUAUUAACUCCUCUUGUUGCACACUUAGGGAGUUGCUUAACCACUGUUUGCUACUCUGACGGCAUGGCUCAGCUACGUGGCUGAUUUUAGGGGGAGCGGUGUUGAACAGGAAGGACAGGGCUGCUGGGUGAAGAACAUACCCCGGUUAUCACAGCAAUGUUGACUUUGCUGGGCCACUGUACAGCUUAGGCUGUGUAAUCGCCAGUUUCCAACUUCUCUUGUCCUCCAGGAGUUGUCUCGCAUGCCCAAAAGGUUUUUUGGUAAAGUUGGUCCUCUCCGUCUGCUUCCGCGUCUGUUUUGAAUGCGCUCUGCCUUCCGCAGGCUGGCAUGGUUGUCCUUCACCUCCUCCCACAGUGGCUUGAGGCCCUCCUUUUCCUCUUAACUUGCCGUCCUUUGCUGUUUUUGGAAACAAUUGUUCAAUCUCGCUCUCCUUCCUCUUCUGAGAUUAGAUUUUAAAGUUUAAGGUAAUUAAUGGGCAUUCAUGCUAAACCUUAUUCUGUACAAGUGAUAUGGAUCCUAUCUCACCCUGAAAUGAUCACCAGUCAAACACAGGGCACAUACAUAACCAUUCACACUCAUAAUUAACCUGUACUAAGAUGCAUUUUUUUGGUAUGUGUGAGGAAACUAGAAUACCUAGAAACAAAACCCACACGUACGGGGAGAACAUGCAAAUUCCUCACAGAGCCCAGAAAUGUAAUGACAGUCUAACUAAUCAAAAGGACCAUGACAUCAUUUAUUCCACAUUUUAAUUAGUUAUAAUUCAUAUUCAUUUUUUUAAAACAUAGAAAACCAUCCAUAGUGAUAAAACUUAUUGAAAAGAGCUUGUUGAGGCUCCCCCCCCCAUUUCAACAUUUAGGGUUUGGGAGAGGAAAUGCACCAUUCCAUUAAAAUACCUAAUUAAGUAUACUUAUGACAGCAUAAGUGAGCCCUUAUUUUAAUCAAGUAUUACAUUUCAUUGUACUCGUUGCAACAUGAAAAUGGAACAUAAAUUGAAUUAUCCUUGACUUUGUUGUUGCAUAUUAAUGAUGCUUUGAAGUGGGAAGUGAUGGAUCUCAGUUGAGUUAAGGGCAACUGGGUGAUUGCAUAAAAAUGUUUUGACUAUUCACCUUUGCACACAUGUUAAGGAAUAUGUUGCUAAUUAUAUAAUUAUAUAGGCAUAUUAUUUGUAUGAUUUACAAAAACAACAUGCUGAAGAUGCACAGCAAUCAAACCUAUACACUACAAGUACACAGCCAUCAUUGGUUGUGUUUCAGAGGGGAAUGAUCUGGAAUACAGGACGGUCAUCAGGGACUUUGUCAGCUGGAGUGAGCUUGACCAGCUACAACUCAACACCAGCAAGACAAAGGAGAUGAUCAUUAACUUCCAGAGGAAAACAUCUCAUUUCACACCGGUGAACAUUCAGGGAGCGGACAUAGAGUUGGUAGACAGCUACAGAUUCCUGGGUGUUCACCUUAACAACAAACUGGACUGACACCCACGCCCUCUACAAGAAGGGCCAGAGUCGCCUCCACCUGCUGAGGAGACUGAGGUCCUUUGGUGUGUGCAGGACUCUUUUACGGACCUUUUAUGACUCUGUGGUGUCCUCAGCCAUCUUCUAUGCUGUGGGCUGCUGGACAGGGGGCAGCACAGACGGGGGCAGGAGCAGGAUCAAUAGACUGAUCAGGAGAGCGAGCUCUGUCCUGGACGGUCCUCUGGACUCCGUGGAGGAAGUGGGGGGGAGAGAAGGAUGUUGGCUAAGCUGACAUCCAUCAUGGACAACACCUCUCACCCUCUACACGACACUGUGGGUUUCCUUAGCAGCUCCUUCAUUAGCAGACUGUUACACCCACGGUGUCAGAAGGAGAGGUUCCGCAGGUCCUUCAUACCAACCGCUGUCAGGCUCUACAACACCUGCACCACUUGAACCAUGUUGUAGUCACUAUGUCACUAUGUAUUCUUUACUUGCGUAUCUUGCUUGCUGCUGUAACAAGUGAAUUUCCCUGCUGUGGGGUAAAUAAAGUACAAUACAAUACAAGUAUACUACAGUAACAGUAGCAAGCCAUACCUGUCUUUUCACCUAUUAUUAGUCAAAACAUGCAUAUUUAAGCAAAUUGUAUGUAUUUUGUGUCUAAAUUACCGUAAAUUCUGGUGUAAAAGCUGCACCCACUAAAUUUAGAAGAUGUAGAAUAUUUGUACAUAUAUAAGCCGCACCGGUGUAUAAGCUGCAGGUGUCCACAUCAUAAAAUGGGACAUUUAGUGCACACAUGUUGCACAGAAAGAUUUUUCUAAACUUUUAAUAAAAAAAAUUUUCCAAACAGUGCGCGCCAGACAGUGGUGCAACACUGCUUAUUAACUGUGCAAAACAGUACACAGCUAGUUAAAAACAGUGCCGAAUAGUGCAUGUAACAUACAGUAGAUAACAAUAGCCUACCCUCUUCCUUUUCAGAAUUGAACAGCAUCCUAAUUCCUUUGUCACAAACGUUGUCGGCUCUCUCUCUUGUUCGGUGAGCUGUGUUCAACUGGAGUAGUCCUACACGAAGCAGCCAUGUUUCCUUGUCUUGACAGCCAAAUCCAUUGCCAUCCAUCCAUCCACUAUCUAUGCCGCUUAUCCUCAAUUCCAUUGCCUUCAACUUGAAAGCGGCAUCAAUUUCAUUUCUUUGUGUAUGUUCAACAGUAUGAUAAGCUUGUCAAGACUGCAAAUGUGCACAACGCGUUUACAUUUUGGUACAGUAGGUGGCGGUAUGUUGGUUGCGACCCACCAUAAACAAGAAGAAGAAGGUCUACAUCCGGUCAUUUAUUUUCAGUCGUCAGUGUUAGAUGGAUAGACGGAGAACACGGCAUUUUAUGUUUUGUUUCAUAUGCUUUAUUGUAUCCGUAUUUAUAUUUAGUGAUGUAUAGUAUACAUGGGUGACUAUGACGUGUACGCCUCUGGCUACUCAAUUUCAAAUGAAGACGAUUAUAUCAAAUUUAGGUCUGGAAUGGCUUAUUUUCCGUCUUUUAUGUCUACUAUAUUAGGUAAAGGUGACUAUCGGGGUGUUAUUUAAUGUCAGAUAGAUGAUGAUAGAUACUUAGUAUUUUAAAGUAUUUUUGCAAAAGUGUCCUAGUAAACAAAAUCACUUAAAAAAAAAUAAGACAAACAAAGCAAAAUAGGAGAGUUAAGAAAAAUAAGAAAAUAGAAUAAGAAUAAAUAAAUAAAUACGUAACAGAUCACUUGAAUCAAGAGGCUGUAAGAACAAAAAAACAUAUGCAGAAGGCAAACAGGUUUUCUAUGCGCUACAAAAAUAUUCCAUUUAAGAAUAGGGAAUCUUACUUUGCAGAAAUGUACUUAUCACGGCCGGGUUUGGAACCAAUUAACCGCGAUUAAAAAAGGGAUUACUCUCAUAUAAUUAUGCACUAGCGUCAGCUGGCGCCAGCGUUCGGUGACACAGGCUGCCUCCGCCCUGCCCCAGACCUAUCUUCGCAAAAAUACAUGAAUUUUGCUUCAACUUUACUUGGCCUCAAGUCCAUUGAGACAAAUAUUGCAUGAAAAAAAGUACUUUAAAAUCUGUAAAAUGCCUCAAAUACCCAACAUUGGAUUAUUUUACGGGGCAUAUUUUGUCUGUAACAGGAGUAUGCAGUUAGUUUACCCAAGGGGCCACAAACACUCGUUAAGUCAUAAACUGAGUAAAGGUAAAGGUUUUUGCAUGCACAGAUUUACAUACGUAGGCUAUGAAUGUAAGUGGCAUAAGUACAUACAGUAUAAAAAAAAGAUUUUGGUUUAAUCGACACAUGAAGUAAAGUUACUUCAAUUUUAUUUCCUGUUUUGAUUAACUUUACACAGGUCAGGGAAAGUGACAAGGAACAAUUUAACUUUUUAAUCUCAGCUGUGUCCUAUUUUAGGGAGAGCAGACCAAAUCUGACACAGUCCAGCCACUUUGAACAGACUAAGCACACCGAUAAAUAUAUUUGCUUCUCCACUUCCCUCACCCUCUGUCUAUCCCUCAAGACAAAUUUAAAUGUAGGCAAUGUGUCACACGAAUAGUGGCUUGAAAGUAAUUCAAUCCCUGUUGGAGGCUAUAUGAAGCCGUCUGACUAUUCUGCAGAGGUAACGGGAUAUUAAGUUUCUUUCAGAGAUGAAAAAAAUAUUUAAAAUCUUCAAAGUUUCCACUGCCUAAAGUGAAUACUUGUGAUAGCAUCUGAUCAUUUUAAUCAGCUGAUUUUUAUCAAGACUUGAAUGUUUGACAUUACCAUCCCAGCCUCCUCAGUUAAAAGAUAACAUGACUUAACCCACUGAAACUGGGCAGUGUCUUUAACAAAGGGAACCAUUGUAUGCAUGGCACAAAAACACAUCCAAUUGCAGCUGGGCCUGAAUGAGCAAGUCACUUUAUUAGCUGCUCAAAAGCACGUACAGUGCUUUGCUCUGCUUUAUACACAUGUUGUGAGGACAGAAGCGUCUGACUGACAACAAGUCGACAUUGUUCACACCACUCUGUACUGAAGGGGAAAAUUUACAUUUUGUGAAUAAAAUAUUUUUAAUGACUGAAACAAUAUAUAUAUAUUUGUAAUUAAAAACACAGUUGUAUAAUUUGGACAUUUGCUCAAACAAAUCUGCUAUAUUCAUGAAUAAAGUGUGAUAGUGAAAUAAAACAUCUGACAAUCAACAUCCAACAAUUCAUUGUCUCCCACUUUUCCAGGUCACGGUCAUCGGUGGGCUGCGGGCUGGCUUUGGACGAGAGGCGGCGUACACCCUGGAUAUGCAUAGGGUACCGAAUGUAAAAAUUAAAUCACAUGUUUUUUUAGCUCAUAUAUUCGGACUAUUUACUUCUUUUCUCACAUUUAGCUCGCUUUUCUCAAAUUUAACAAUUUUCUCAACAUUUGAGGUAGAAAUGAAAUGGUAAAUCUAAAUGUUAAUAUACAUCUAAAUGUUAAAACUAAAAUCGAAAUAUAAAAUCUAAAAAAAUAUGACCUCACCUCGCAUUGACAGCACACCAGUCAGGCGUGGGCGGGCCAGUGUAUGCUGAGAGGCGUGGACUAUAUGUGUAUUUUUGAAAUAUUAGAGAUUUAACAUUUAAAUUUAGAAUGAAUAUUUAUAUUUCAAUUUAGAAUGUAUAGUUAUCAUUUAUACAGUAUAUACCAUUUAUAUUCAUAUUUAAUAUUAAGAUUCAACAUCUAUAUUUAAAUGUAUUUUAACAUUUAUAUUUACAUUUAAUAUUAUUUAACAUUUACAUUUUGCAAUUAGUGGUACUUUUAAGCACAGCAGCAGCAGCGAGACGGCGGCUUGUGCCCCUUCUUCCACGUUCUACAGACAGCUGUCGGCUGCCAGUGUUUUGUUUCCACGGCCAAUCUCCUUUUUGUUUCAUGCAGACAGCUUGUGCAAGCCUUCCCUAUUACAGUAUAGUGUUAAAUACUGCCAGCCAACGGCCCUUUUGAUCACGCUGUUUUUGUUCCCCUCGUUAUUUGUAAAUUUGUACAGAAUGCUUUUGUUAAUUUUUUAUUAUGUUUUUUGUCGUGGUUUACAACAUACUUUGUUUGUUUUAGUAUUUUACUUGUUGGGCGCUUCUUUAUGUGAAUGUUAAUGAAAGAUUCUUUAUUUGUUGAUACCUGCUGCCUCUGUCCCUGCUUUAUGGGGUCUACACCUAUUACCAUCUGCCACAGUGGUCCCUAUAUGAUCUGAUCUGCAAUGUAUACAGUAUUUACAUAUAUAAAUGACAAGCUUUAAAUAUGUCAUUACUAACCAAAAGCUUAAUUCUUUAUAAAUAUCUAGCUUUACUAUGAAUUGUAGCCAUGUCCCUUGAAAAUACAAGAAUAGCACAUUUGGUUUUUUAAAAUUGCGUCACUAUGAGCUACUCUUUGCGCCGGCCGCGGUUUACACCUUUACAUCAUACUUAUGACUAAUGUCCAAUAUUUCCCGAAACAUGUCCACUGUUCUUUUUCUCUGUGGCCGUUAAAAAGAGAUACUGUAUGACGACCAGUGGCGAUAACCAUACCGCCAGUAUGAACUUGCUAUCAAUUUUGUAGCAGUCAGUCCAAAGGUGAAACACACUUACAGUUUCCAGUAUAUUUGGAACAUAAAAUGUUUUUCAUUCAGUGUCAUUUUAGUUUUGCUUGUUUAAUAUUCUCCUCCUGCUCAUACUUGGGAACUGUGUGUCUCAGGCGAUCAGUGUCCCAUGCUCGCACUUGAGGCAAUAAUUUCUCUUUAAUUUGUACAAGUACUCAGUGCAGAGUUCUUUGUGCAGUCAGGAGUUAUUUUUUGGUCCUGGAGGCUCCUUUAAAAAAAAAUAUAAUUACAAUGAUUCCAAGUUGUCAAUUGAAGGAUCUCAUUGAAGAAUCAGUCCCCAAUGACUGUCUGUGCGUGUGCGUGCGCGUAUACAGUAUGUGUGGGUUUGUGUUUGUGUCUUACAUACUGUAGAUGAAAAGCCAAUAUGAUAGAGUGGAACCUUGGUUAGCGUUAUUAAUCCAUUGCAGAAUGUCCAACUCCAACCGAAACGAACACUAACCAAAUCAACUUUUUCCAUAUGAAAUAAUGGAAGUCCAAUUGCAGUUGUCCCUCGUUUAUAGCAAUUAACUGGUUCCAGACCCGACGAUAAAUGAAUUCCUGCCAUGGAGGAUUCAAUGUUAAUACAUGGAAUAUUUUCAUAGUUUGAGCAUAGAAAACCUGUUUAUGACUUUCUAUUAUUAUUAGAGCUCUGGAAACAAAAAAUAACACACAACACAUUUGCAACUAGGGACUCGAGAUGGCCGCUGGCUAGCGAGCUAACCUCAAAUUUAUUUCUUCUAAACUAAAGAAACAAAAAACUUAGACACGGAAUGGGAGGAGAGGUUUUUUCACUCUAUAAUGUCGGACAUGCCAUGGCUGACUUCAUGCCUUCAUGCACUGUUAUGUAAUGUAAUGUCUCAAUGUUUUUUGUCAUUACUGCCGCCCAGUGACCAGAAUACUACAUAUCGCUUGUUUUUCAAUAUGUUUUGACUACUAACAAACCAUAGUCUACCAAGAAACAGCAAUCAUCAAGUAAUUUUCAGAAAAAAAAACGUGAUAUAGCGAAGGAGCGAUAAUCGAACCGCAAUAUUGUGAAGGAUGACUGUAAUCUAUUUCAGAAAGCUAAAAAUGUUCAUACAAAAUACUUUUUUAUAGUUCUACAUGCAGAAAACAAUUCAAAAUGCAUAUAAAUACAUGAUGAAGGAAAGGGGUAAAUAAACAUUUAAGGUUACUUUACCUUCUUUGAAGAUGUUUUUUAAAUUAAAUCUUGUUUGUCACAUCAAUAACUCAAACUGGAGCUGAGGAAAGUUGCAAGCGCCAGGAUCUGAUAAAGAAGGUGAGAAACAAUACUGAAUUCAAGAAAUUCAAGAACUCAUGGCAUUUACGAAGGUGGUGUCCGUGUUGAUCUUACUGCUACAUCGUGUCUUUGGCAACAAUCACGUCUUUAGUGAAGGCAAAAGUAACCUUAAAUGUUCAUUCAUCCCUUUCAUUUGUUGUUUAUAUGUAUUUAGAAUUGUUUUAUGUAUGUAAAACUAUAAUUGUAACACUACAAAAACGUGUUUUGUGUUAACAUUCUUAAAACUUGUGGCGUUUUAGUUAGCAAAAAACUACAGUCUACCAGACAUCAUAAAUGGGCGACUGAGCUGACUUCCAAUUCCUGUUUCUAUGAACUGUAGUGUCAAUCUAAUGGGGUGCUAACAAGGACGUUUUGUGUUAAAAAUACAUUAAAAACAGAGUUGAACUCAUGCAGGGUAUUAAUAACAUGACACGACAUGACGUGCACCAUAAUUGUACGCUAACCGCAAACCGCCUCAAAAUUUAGGCGUACAUUUUCAAUGGUAACCAAAAAACACGCUAACCGGGGUAUAUGCUAACAUUGACAAUUAAUGAAACUGAACUAGACAGAAAACUGAAGCAACUGCAUUUUUCAUAUACAUUUGUCAUUUCUGCAUGCUUUUUUCUGUAAUUUUAAAGUUGGUCCCUGUCUUUGGUCGCCGUACAGAGAGGAGCUCGUCGUGAGAGCAGCUCUGGCUGAUUGCACUCUGCAACAGCGCUCUUUAAAAGUAUAUUCUAGAGGCUUCUUGUGAAAUCUGAGCUGGUAAAAAUAGAAUAUAAAAAAAAUAAAUAAGGUAUCCAACCCAGCAGGCAUUUUUGAGUUUUGUCACCUAAUAAGUCAUGAGACUUAUACAUAUGGUUUUACUGCUGAGUCACAAGUGUGAAUGCAGACUUGGCAAUGAACAGAGGAGGUGUUGCGAUGCUAAUUUUAAGAUAAUGGUGAUCAGUGAACUGGAGUCAUAAUCAAAUGUGAAGCAGCUAAGAAAUACGAAAUCUUAAAUUGUGGUGAAUGAAAUAUGAUGACUUUUUGUCUUCCAAAAAUACGUCUUGAAAAAAUCGUCAAUAUGGUACAAAUCUUUGUUGAACAAAAUGCUGUUAUAGCAUUCAAAUAAAAAUAAAGAAGAAAUGAUUCAGAAAAUGAAAGAAAUGCUCCCUCUUCAAAGACUGUCAAGGAAGGACCAAUAGGAAACAAAUAUCACCAGUAGGCAAAUUGAUGACAUAGCGCAAGCAAAUGGAAUUGCCUGUGAUAGGUCAAGUGAUGUAAACAAUAUUAAGCAAACAGCACUGGCAUGCGGAUAUGAACUCUGAUAGGCUUUUUUAUGUUAAUUGGCUAGAUCAUGUUUUAAUAUUAAACAAAUACGGGAACGACUCAAAAUAGCCUACAUCGAUCAGUGUUUAAAUUUUUUCAAAGUAGGCCUACACAUGCGAUCUCUACUUCUGUUCGUUGCAUUGUGUUGUAACAGGAACAAUUUAAAAAAGAUUAAAACUUUUAAAAGCUGUGUCAUGUUUUGCGGCUCCAGUCCAUUUUUCUUUAUUGAAAAAGGAGGCAAAAUGACUCGACCCCUGAACUAUGAUGGAUAUGAUGUGAAUUGCAUUCUAAUGAAUUAUGUUUUUGACUGAUAUGUUGGUGUUGUAAUACCUUUUGUCAUUUAAGAAUAAAUACCUUAUGUUAUUUUGUUGGAGAUGCCUUGCCUUGUCAAGGUGUCACAGGAGUAAAAGUAAGAACGGGUCUAAUCAGGACCUUUGACAGUCCUCACAUUCACCCUCGAAUCACAUGCUGUUUAGCUCUGAAAACACUAAUUACAUUUGGAAUCCAAUUAGGGGAGUGGUAAUGAAAUUUCCAAACGAGGAAACUUGUAAUCUGCUCAUUGAGGUAUUUAAUUAUGAGUGGGCCUGUGCAUUGUAGAUAUGCCACACCUUUGAUUGGUGGACAUCGAAUGGGUUCUAGUGCAUUUUAUUUAUAUAUUUUAGGUAAAAAUACACUUCUUUUCUCUUUGUUAUCCAAGUCUUACAUGUCAUCAAUCAUGUUUAUUAUAUACUCAACUUUAUUACUCGGUUAAAUAUUGCAUACAUAUAUUUGUAUAACAAGAACACUAAGGGUAUCAUAUUUCAUUAAAAUACAAAGUUUCUAUCAAGUGAACAGAAAGCUACACUGCCUUAUACUGUAUAUAUGACAUGAAGGUUGUCAUCAUGUAAGUGUUUGCCAAGGGCAAAGACAUGCCCCUGUCAUCUAGAAUUCUGAAUUGUCCUUUUUGUAUUUGUCCAGAGCACACAAGGCCCCAUUCCAAUAAACUAAAAAUACUGAUUUAACUUACAACUUUACACAUUCUCAGGGUGUGAUGAUCCAUUACACUGAGGUCAGCAGGCAAUUCUGGGCACAGAGAUAAAGCUCUUUGGAUAAAGGUCAGCUUAAACAGAAAUUUGUGGGUAUAACAUUUUAACGUGGUGUUUAAUAAAGUGUUAAAGUAAUCCUGAUUAAAUUAGCAACUGUCACUUAUUGAUGAAGUGCACAGUAAUUCAUCAGAACUCCUUGUGCGCCAGGGACUGUGAACAAGGUUCCCAUAUGCAGACACGUGAAUAAACCCAAAUAGUUAUUAGAGAAUGCAGGUGCAGAGGUGCAGGAGAAUCUUAUGUGAGCAGUGCGGGAGUGGCUAGGAUAGGGAGCGAGGCAGUGGGACGUCAAGUGAACACUGCAAAAAGUGAGUAAAUCUUAUGACAAACUCGAGUUUCCACUCGAUUCUAACAGUACUCACCACCUCAAUAUUCUCAGGAUGGGCACCGUGUCGUGGAGAGGGUCGGGAUCCAAGAUGAAGGAAAAGGGAAUGCAACAACAGUUAUCCGGAGCAUAUCCUUCCCAAUCCCCCAAGUACUAGUAGCUGUCCACCUACCGCAAACAGUGACGGUGACCGGUGGAUGGUCAUCAAUAAGUUGGGUAGAUGGUGGGGGGCCUGGAAGGAGAGGUACAAGGGCUGGAGGACACAGGGCAGACUCGGAAAAACAUGGAACACAGGAUGUAUCCAAAGGGUAGAGGGCAACUUGAAUUUAACAGGGGAUUGAUUAUCUUCUCAAUGGAAACCGGGGCUAAGGAACGCUUGCAGGUGUCUGACUUGAGAGGAAUGUGUUUGGAAGAGAGCCACACACUCUGUCCGACUGUAUAUUUUGGGGCCAGCAUCUAAGGUCAGCGAGCCUCUUGUUGUCUUCUGAGGUUCUUUGCAUGGUGCCUCGUUCCAGACCUCUUUGCCUGUCUGAGUUGGACCUGCAUGGAGGGGUCCUUUAGUACUGGUGGGAAAAAGGGGCAGCUGAUAGCCAAGCGGCAAAAUCUCGAGAGCUGAACUGGUCAAAGAGUUAUGUACCCUAUUAAUAAUGUACUCUAACUAUAUACUCUAUCCAUAUGAUCCACCCAGAUGGUAAAACACCCAAGGGCUGGUUGACUCUCUCGUAUUGGCCAUUUCAAUGGGAAUUUAAAUGGGGUUGAUACCCAGACAAGCACCUUUCCAUACACAGGAGAUGAAUUGAAAACCACGGUCAGAAACAAAGUCCACUGUGAUUCCAUGGAGGCAGAAAAAUGAUCCAGGAGGAGCCAAACGGUUACCAAGGCAGAAGAUCAUUUCUCCAUGUGGAUGAAGUGGAUAUAUUUACAAAGUUAAUCCACAACAGUCACACGAUGUAGGACCAGAGCCACCCAGGAAUGGGUAGAGGCUGGCGCAUUCCUGAGGGAGGCUGGUGGGAGAACUUGUUUUGUGCUAACACAGCGUAUGCUGAAAUCAACCCAGUGAUGUGGUCACCAGAAUCGCCUUUUGAUAUUUUCUCAGUUCUAAAUUCUCUCCACCAAAAUGACAGAAGCCUUUUUUUCUGCUCAUUCCGACAUUUGGUCGUCAACACCUUUGAAGUUCAGCUGUUAGUGACGGUUAGCUGGUUUUGCUAGUGAUUAUUGCCGAAUUGUAACGUUUCUGUUCCUCUUCACAGUCAGUGACUUCAGUGCUUCAGAUUAAGACACGAGCCUCCUUUUUUAAUGUUUCUCUCCACCUUUCUGUAGUUUGGGUUCCUCAUUGGUGUACAAUCUGCUGCUGAAUCAAAUACAACAGCAUGAUUCGAUAUACAUGAUCUGGACCGAUGGAUGCAGUAUAAUCAAGAAAGAAGAGAAGAGAACAACUGAUGGCAAUGGGUCGCGGGGAUAUGCUGGAGCCUAUCCCGACAAGCGGCAGGCGGGGUACACCUUGGACUGGUCGCCAGUCGCUAAUCGCAGGGCACGUAUAGACAAACAACCAUUAACAUCAAACAACCAUUCACACUCAUACCUAUGGACAAUUUAGACAUGCAUGUUUUUGGAUGUCGGAGGAAGCCCGAGUACCCGGAGAAAACCCACGCACGGGGAGAACAUGCAAACUUCACACAGAAAUGCCCAAGGGAGAAUCGAACCGAGGUCUUCCCGAUCUCCAGACUGUUACUGUGUUGGCCAACAUGCUAACCACUAGACCACCCCUCUCAUUUGUUAUGAAACUUAAUAAAGGUUGUAGAAAAUUGUAGAAAAAAUGUUUUGAAAUCUAAACAAAUUUGAGGCCAAACAACACAUUUCACUUCAACUCUAGAGGUUCCACUGUAUUUGCAUUUGAUAAUGUAGCUCUUGUCUAUGUAUAUGUGUGCCAUUGUACACAAUAAUUAAUAAAGAUUUGUGAUUGAUUAAUGGUCACUCAAUCCGGCAACAUCUUGCAUUUUGCCAAGGUAAAACUAAUUCAAAUAAAUAAUAUAUUCAGUGAGUUUAAUGAGGCUUUGCUAUGAUAGGAGGCUACUAAGGGUAUCAAUACACCCAUUCCCUUCCCUUAGAAAUCAGUGUAUAACCUCCUGUUUGAUGAGCUAUAUAUAGUCCUUUCAAAAAAGCAAACCCUCUGAAAGACAAAAUGUUUCAAUUAUAACUACAGUGCAAUGCUACAAUCCAUAAGAACAUUAAAAACCUAGCACCUUUGGUGUGCAUGAGUCAUUGAUCCACCCACAAUGGAGAUACUGUAUGUCACUGGACUGACAGCAGCAGCUGACAAGCCUCAUCCAACAGGCACUGUUUGCCCAGAUGGUUGAAUGUAAUCAAUUUAAACUUUCAGAUGCAUAUUUAGAUUAUUACAGCACGUCCCACACAUUUCCUACAUCAGGUGCUCUCCUGCCAGUUUUCUACCACAGCGUGUGUGUGUGACAGUGGUGGCCAUUUUAUUAGUCAGCUGGAUAGACUCCAGCUCAUCCGUGACCCUAAUGAGGACAAACGGUGAAGAAAAUGGAUGGAUGGAUGUAUUUAUAUCCACAGGAGCUCAAACACUAACAUUUACUACACUUGUCAUUCAGAAGCAGCAAGCAAUCAAAAAGGAAAACUCGAGUUAAUAAGACCUCGUGGACUUUAGUAGAAAACAGGAUAAAUUUUAAGCUCUGACAUGCUUGCAUUAUUAGUUUUAAUCCCUGAAGGCGUUGCACUCCCCCACGUGUUUCACCUAUUGGAGCUGAUUAGAUGUAUGCUUUGGUUGAAGUUGACUAUCUAUGCUAUGGGAGUUUUAAAAGGUCACAGACAUAAUGAAAAAAGGCAUACUUGUCUUCUUAAAACAAUUCAAGCAUUUUGUACUGCAUGUUACACAUUCAGCAUCUAUUAGUGCUAUAAAAAAUGCUAUCGUAAAUGGUUAAAUCGCUAUUGUUAAACAUAGACAUGAAGGACCAAAAGAAAGAGAAAAAAAUGCUCCUUAAUUAAUUUUGUGACGCAGA